rnacentral:rRNA from 1 species
UUGAUAAAAAUAGUUAUAAUUUUUUUAAAAAAGAAAUAUAAAAAUAAUAGUAGUGUUAACGAAAAAUAAAAUUAACUAUAGAGUAUAAGUACUGUGAAGGAAAUAUUGAAAUAAUUGAAAAAUUUUCAUAAAAAUAGUACUUUUAAAUAAAGGUACCUUUUGUAUUAGUGAUUAUUAAAAUUUUUAUAUAAAUUUUAUUCUCGAAAAUAAAAGAUCUAAAAAAUUUUGAAAGUUUUUGUGUCAAAAAAAUUUUUAAAGGUUUUUUAGGUGUGAAAUUCUAAUCGCUUUUAUUAAUAUCUAGUAACUUUAGAAAUAAAUUUAGUUUAGAAUGGUUCAGGAAUACUUUAGUUGAAAGAAAUUCUUUAUCCAUUUUUAGAUUUUAGGGGAUGAGCUCUAAAAUCAAAUUAUAAGAAUAAUUUUCUUUAAAUUUUUUAUAGGCUUAGAAUUAGCCAUAAGAUAGUGUUAUAAAAUAAAAUUUUAAGUUUAAGAUUUAAAUAAUUCUUUUAGAUUUAUAAAGUUAAUUUAAAAAUAGAAUUUUAAAUGAAAAUAUGAUAAUAUUAGUAGAUAAAUAAAGUUAAGAUUUUAUAUUAAAAAUUUCAGAAUUUUUUAUGUAAAAAAUACUAACAAAAGAACUCGGCAAAACAAAUUUCCGAAUGUUUAACAAAAACAUUUCCUUCUAGUUUAGAAGGUAAGGCCUGCUCACUGAAUUUUAAAGAGCCGCAGUAUCCUAACUGUGCUAAGGUAGCAUAAUCAUUAGUCUUUUAAUUGGAGACUGGUAUGAAUGGCUUAACGAGAAAUUGACUUUUUUUGUUAUUUAAAUUGAAUUUAAUUUUUUAGUGAAAAAGCUAAAAUAUUUCAGAAAGACGAGAAGACCCUAUAGAGUUUUAUAUUUAAAGUUAUUUCUUUUUAAUAGAUUUUACAAGAAAAAAUAAUUUAAGAUAUUUUGUUGGGGCGACAUUAAGAUAUAAAAAACUCUUUAUUUUAAAAAUUUUAAUAUAAAUAUAAUUUGAUCCUCUAAAAGAGAUCAAAAGAAAAAAUUACCUUAGGGAUAACAGCGUAAUCUUUUUUGAGAGUUCUAAUCGACAAAAAGGUUUGCGACCUCGAUGUUGGACUAAAAUUUAGGCAGGGUGCAGCAGUUCUGCUUUAAGGUCUGUUCGACCUAUAAUAUUUUACACGAUCUGAGUUCAGACCGGCGUAAGCCAGGUUGGUUUCUAUCUUCUGAUUUUAUUAUUUCAACUUAGUACGAAAGGAUUGGUUGAUUAUAAUUUUUAUAAUAUUUUGAGGUUUAUUAAUUUUUCUUAU